rnacentral:rRNA from 4 species
AAAUUGAAGAGUUUGAUCAUGGCUCAGAUUGAACGCUGGCGGCAGGCCUAACACAUGCAAGUCGAACGGUAACAGGAAACAGCUUGCUGUUUCGCUGACGAGUGGCGGACGGGUGAGUAAUGUCUGGGAAACUGCCUGAUGGAGGGGGAUAACUACUGGAAACGGUAGCUAAUACCGCAUAACGUCGCAAGACCAAAGAGGGGGACCUUCGGGCCUCUUG